GCUCGUAUAGUGUAGGUGGUUAUCACCGUUCGUUGUGGUUCACAACUCCGAGCUGACCGCUGUUCGACUCAGCGUGCGAGCA